rnacentral:misc_RNA from 1 species
AACGCACAUUGCGCCCUCUGGCAUUCCGGAGGGCAUGCCUGUCCGAGCGUCAUUUCUGCCCUCCAGCCCGGCUGGGUCUUGGGCGCUGUCCCCCCGGGGACACGCCCCAAAGGCAGUGGCGACGCCGCGUCGAGUCCUCGAGCGUAUGGAGCUUUGUCACCUGCUCGGGAGGGACUCGCCGGCCUCGGUCUUCCCCCGACGGGCCCGCACAGGGCCGGUCUUCCACGGUUGACCUCGGAUCAGGUAGGGCUACCCGCUGAACUUAA